CACGUAGGGUGCGAGCGUUGUCCGGAAUUAUUGGGCGUAAAGAGCUCGUAGGCGGUCCGUCACGUCGGAUGUGAAAUUCCAGGGCUCAACCCUGGACCUGCAUUCGAUACGGGCGGACUAGAGUUCGGUAGGGGAGACUGGAAUUCCUGGUGUAGCGGUGAAAUGCGCAGAUAUCAGGAGGAACACCGGUGGCGAAGGCGGGUCUCUGGGCCGUAACUGACGCUGAGGAGCGAAAGCAUGGGGAACGAACAGG
rnacentral:rRNA from 1 species